rnacentral:lncRNA from 10 species
CCCUUACCACACCCCCUUUUCCUCUCUUCCACAAGCACAACCCUUCUUCAGACGUCCAUAUACACUUCUCCCAAAAUCCUGUGCUUAACACAUUGUUACUGAGCACACAGGCGUGCUGGGGCAAGCGACGCCUGGGAAUAUGAAGCGAACGCCACACACUAGAACGCGCCCUGGGAGCUGGCCUCCGGUGGGGGACGCAGGUGUUGAAGACAUAACCGCAUGACCGAACUGUCUGCCACCAACUUGUACUAACUUCCGUCUCUCACCUGGGACCGUGCAGCCAGCAGCUCCUCCUGCAAGGGAUCAUGGCUUACCACCAUCCACCCCAAUGUCUCGGAGCUGCCUCAUUCUGCAGGAGGAGGCCCUUGCAGGGAUGGUGGUGGCAACUGCACAGCAAUGAACAAAACCGCUUUUUAAAUGUCACUAGUAAUUCCCAGGAUCACGCACAGCUCUAGAAAGCACCGCAGUAACUAUUCCUUCUGAACACCUUGGCACAGGAGACCUGGAGUGACCCUACGUGGCUUUCACCCAGGGGGAAUCAUGUCUGGGGCUAAAUACAAGGACAAAGGAGAGAGAAGCCUGGGGGAUGUCGGCUGGGGCAGUAGCAGUCAGAGAGCGAAGGGCUUGAAGGUCAUAUCAAGGAGUCUGAAUUUUGUUGUGUACAACACAGAGGGGUAUGGGAGACGGUUAAGUGGAGAACUAAGAGAACAAUAAGAGACAGUGCACCAGAGAUUGUUGCCUCCCCACUAUCUGUUUCUCCCUCCUUCCCUUCCAGUGAAACCUUGAUUUUAUUCUGGCCAGAAAUGUGUCUGGCCAAAGACUAUAUCUCCCAGUCUCCCUUGCAGCCAGAUAUGGCAUGUGACUGUUCUAAUCAAUGAGACAUGGGAGAAAUUGAUGAGGGUGCCUUGUGGAAAGCUCAAUCAAAAGAGGACACAGCUGAUGAAAGCUUUUUUUACCCAUUUCUUCUUCCUCCUGCAUUCCACCUGGAAUGAAGAUAUUAUGGUUGGUGCUCCAGCAGUUAUUUUGGGCUAUGAGGUAAUCUCCUCAUAGAGGCCAGAAAUUAGAGAAACCUCAGUUUUGCUCUGAAGGCCUUCAACUGCCCGGCCGAGGCUCACCCACACCAAGGGGAAUCCCUUCUCUUAAAGUCAACUGAUGGUAGAUGUCAACCACAGCUACAAAACACCGUCACAGCAACACCUGGGUUAGCGUUUGAUUGAAUAAAUGUGACUGGAGCCUGGCCAAGUUGAUACAUAAAAUCAACCGGCACAUUCCUUUUAGAAAAUAAUCAUCAUAAUUACACGCUCUGCUGUCAUCCUGACCUGCAAACCCUCCUAGGGGCAAAGAAGUUUGUUUUGUUUAUUUGUUUCCUGGAUGCAAAGAAUCUGUUGAUUUCUCCAAGCCUGGCGCUGGCUGAAAUUGUCCCAGCCAACACUGAAGCUGCCUAGAAGGUGGCUGCAGUUUUGGGGUGGCACCGGAAAGGGCUCUUUUAAGGAGCCACCAGCACCUUCGCCUCAAAAUCAAGAACAAUACCAGGCCCCAUGCCAGCCACAGGAGUAAUUAGGCCAGAUGGUUUCAAGGCAGAAAUUCCAGUAGUCCCUGAAAUGCUAUAAAUCGAGCCACAGACAGGAGGUGUGGUGACUUGACAGCAAUUUCUCCCCAAGGCAAGGCCUCCGCGGCAUCACAGCCAGCCUUCCCUCCAUUCCACUGCAGAAAUAAAUGAAGUUAUGGAUGUUGGUGUUUCUUUGCGGUGAAUCAAAUGGAUUCCCUGUGAAUGCUGUUUGAUAUUCUUCUUGAUCAUGUCAACUAGACAGAAUGUGUCUUUCUAGCAUUUGUUUUUCAAAAAAAGAUGUGUGAAAUAGGAAUUUUCACAUAAUUCCUGAACAGGUUUUGGUGGCAGUGGUGUUUGUUUUCCAAAAGCCGGGACAGGAACUGCAGAGCCUUCUAGUGCUUUCCUUCAUCUUCUCCCCAGUGCAGCCGGAACUCGCCCCUGGGGUGGCCCACUCUCCCCCACUGAGAGCAGCAGAGACAGCCAGCUGCACAGGCUCGGGAUGUGGGCUGGGAGAAUGCUCCCCCGUGAACUCACAAGCACAUGUUAGGUGCUGUGGAUACAAGAAGCCCAGUCAUAUGGAGAGUAUGUGGUUGGGCGGCCAGGCUUUGGAGCCAGUGGCCUGACUUGUUGUCCCAGCUCUGCCACUCCCUGGCUUUGUGACCUGAGGCAAGGUUGGUAUUUCUCUCUGCUUCCAUAACAUGGGAUAACAGUGGCACCCACUUCAUAGGGCAGUGAGGGAUUGAUGUAUAAAUACAGGUAGUCUGCAGAAGCUCACCUGGCAGACAGUGGGCACCCAGCAGACGCUAGUAAUUUAACUCUGCUGAUAAGGCCCCUUGUUAAGCAGAUGACAGGCAAAGUGAAUCAUGUAUACACCUGAGGACAGGAACACCAUUUUGCAAGUGAGGAAUAAGGCUUAAGAAAAAAAGAACCAGGCUGGGCGUGGUGGCUCACACCUGCAAUCCCAACAGUUUGGGAGGCUGAAGUGGGAGGAUCGCUUGAGCCCAGGAGUUGGAGACCAGCCUGGGCAACACAGUGAGACCCCAUGUCGAUAAAAAAUAUAAAAAUUAGCUGGGCAUGGUGGUGCGUGCCUGUAGUCCCAGCUACUCCCAAGGCUGAGGCAGGAGGCUCUCCUAAGCUCAGGAGGUCCAGGCUGCAGUGAGCUGGGAUUGCACUACUGCAUGCCAGCCUGGGUGACGAUCAAGACUCUGCCCCCAUCCCCCAAAAAAAGAAAAGAAAAGAAGAAACGAACCAUAGCAACAUUAUGCCUAGAAGCCAAACGGUGGAAGCAACCGAAGUGUCCAUUGACGGAUGAAUGUGUAAACAAAAUGUGCUCUAUCCUACAAUGGAAUAUGAUGCAGCUUUGAAAAGGAAAGAAAGUCUGACACAUGUUCCAACAUGGAUGAUCUCUGAUGACCUUAUAUCAAGUGAAACAAGCCAGUCACAAAAGGACAAAGACUGCAUGAUUCCGCUUAUAUGAAGUCCUUAAAAGAGUCAAAUUCAUAGAAACAGAAAGUAGAAUGGUGGUUGCCAAGGACGGCGGAGGGAGGGGAAUGGGGGGUGAAUGUUUAACAGGAAUAGAGUUUCAGUUUUGCAAGAUGAAGGUCCUGGAGAUGGACGGUGGUGAUGGUUGCACAACGAUGUUAAUGUCCUUGACACUGAACUGUACACUUAGAAAUGGUUGAGAUGGUAAAUUUUAUGUUAUGUGUAUUUCACAAUUAACAGUUUAAAAGAAAUGAACCAACUUGGCUG